rnacentral:lncRNA from 1 species
AUGAUAUGUUACAUAUAAAAUCUAAAAUAAUCACAUGAUAAAAUUUGUAUGCAUGGAUGUAUGCGGUAGAUCAAAUCUAUACCUAUCUGAGUUCAGAACUUGAUACCUAAGCACGGGUUGAUGAUUGCUACUGCUGAGAGAUAUGGUGAAGAUCUUUGCUGGUUGCUCACAGCUGCACAUACAUCUAGUCUCUAUGAAAAGUUCACUCGAAGCUUCAAUC